UGUUCUUUUUUCCGGAGCUGGGGACUGAACCCAGGGCCUUGCGCUUCCUAGGCAAGCGCUCUACCACUGAGCUAAAUCCCCAGCCCCACACACUUUCAGUUAAAGAGCCUGACAUGGUGGCACAGGCCUGUGACCCUGAUAACUGGAGGGAAGGUCAGGAGUCAGAGACCAGGCUGGGCUACAUGAAACUGUCUCAAAAGGGCUCCAAACGAGCAAGGGGCAAGCAGGUCUCCUCUCUGAAAU
rnacentral:lncRNA from 1 species